GUGUUCGCUUUGACAGCACAUAUACUAAAAUUGGAACGGUAUAGAGAAGAUGAACAUGGUCCCUGCGCGAAGAUGACACGCAAAUUCAUGAAGCGUUCCAUCAAUCA
ensembl:snRNA U6 U6 spliceosomal RNA